rnacentral:rRNA from 1 species
UACGUAGGGUGCGAGCGUUGUCCGGAAUUAUUGGGCGUAAAGGGCUCGUAGGCGGUUUGUCGCGUCGGGAGUGAAAACUCAGGGCUUAACCCUGAGCCUGCUUCCGAUACGGGCAUCACUGGAGUUCGGCAGGGGAGACUGGAAUUCCUGGUGUAGCGGUGAAAUGCGCAGAUAUCAGGAGGAACACCGGUGGCGAAGGCGGGUCUCUGGGCAACAACUGACGCUGAGGAGCGAAAGCGUGGGGAGCGAACAGG